CCCACGUGGUUGGAAUAAUUAUGGAAAUCGCUGUUUCAUCUUCCAGAAUAACCAAACUGACUGGCUACUGCUGAGCGUGCCUGCCAUAGAUAUGGUGGAAAUCUGGCCUCCGUCCACAACAAAGGUGAACUCACUCUCCUCCAGAAGCUAAUCAGAGUUACGAAAGGAUCGUACGAGAGGACCUGGCUCGGAGGCCAUGAUGCUGAGAAGGAGGGUGUGUGGCUGUGGGAGUG